GGGUUGUGAGGUUAAGCGACUAAGCGUACACGGUGGAUGCCCUGGCAGUCAGAGGCGAUGAAGGACGUGCUAAACUGAAUCCAUAGGUUAAUGAGGCGAACCGGGGGAACUGAAACAUCUAAGUACCCCGAGGAAAAGAAAUCAACCGAGAUUCCCCCAGUAGCGGCGAGCGAACGGGGAGGAGCCCAGAGCCUGAAUCAGUGUGUGUGUUAGUGGAAGCGUCUGGAAAGGCGCGCGAUACAGGGUGACAGCCCCGUACACAAAAAUGCACAUAUUGUGAGCUCGAUGAGUAGGGCGGGACACGUGGUAUCCUGUCUGAAUAUGGGGGGACCAUCCUCCAAGGCUAAAUACUCCUGACUGACCGAUAGUGAACCAGUACCGUGAGGGAAAGGCGAAAAGAACCCCGGCGAGGGGAGUGAAAAAGAACCUGAAACCGUGUACGUACAAGCAGUGGGAGCCUCUUUUAUGGGGUGACUGCGUACCUUUUGUAUAAUGGGUCAGCGACUUAUAUUCUGUAGCAAGGUUAACCGAAUAGGGGAGCCGAAGGGAAACCGAGUCUUAACUGGGCGUUAAGUUGCAGGGUAUAGACCCGAAACCCGGUGAUCUAGCCAUGGGCAGGUUGAAGGUUGGGUAACACUAACUGGAGGACCGAACCGACUAAUGUUGAAAAAUUAGCGGAUGACUUGUGGCUGGGGGUGAAAGGCCAAUCAAACCGGGAGAUAGCUGGUUCUCCCCGAAAGCUAUUUAGGUAGCGCCUCGUGAAYUCAUCUCCGGGGGUAGAGCACUGUUUCGGCAAGGGGGUCAUCCCGACUUACCAACCCGAUGCAAACUGCGAAUACCGGAGAAUGUUAUCACGGGAGACACACGGCGGGUGCUAACGUCCGUCGUGAAGAGGGAAACAACCCAGACCGCCAGCUAAGGUCCCAAAGUCAUGGUUAAGUGGGAAACGAUGUGGGAAGGCCCAGACAGCCAGGAUGUUGGCUUAGAAGCAGCCAUCAUUUAAAGAAAGCGUAAUAGCUCACUGGUCGAGUCGGCCUGCGCGGAAGAUGUAACGGGGCUAAACCAUGCACCGAAGCUGCGGCAGCGACACUAUGUGUUGUUGGGUAGGGGAGCGUUCUGUAAGCCUGUGAAGGUGURCUGUGAGGYAUGCUGGAGGUAUCAGAAGUGCGAAUGCUGACAUAAGUAACGAUAAAGCGGGUGAAAAGCCCGCUCGCCGGAAGACCAAGGGUUCCUGUCCAACGUUAAUCGGGGCAGGGUGAGUCGACCCCUAAGGCGAGGCCGAAAGGCGUAGUCGAUGGGAAACAGGUUAAUAUUCCUGUACUUGGUGUUACUGCGAAGGGGGGACGGAGAAGGCUAUGUUGGCCGGGCGACGGUUGUCCCGGUUUAAGCGUGUAGGCUGGUUUUCCAGGCAAAUCCGGAAAAUCAAGGCUGAGGCGUGAUGACGAGGCACUACGGUGCUGAAGCAACAAAUGCCCUGCUUCCAGGAAAAGCCUCUAAGCAUCAGGUAACAUCAAAUCGUACCCCAAACCGACACAGGUGGUCAGGUAGAGAAUACCAAGGCGCUUGAGAGAACUCGGGUGAAGGAACUAGGCAAAAUGGUGCCGUAACUUCGGGAGAAGGCACGCUGAUAUGUAGGUGAAGUCCCUCGCGGAUGGAGCUGAAAUCAGUCGAAGAUACCAGCUGGCUGCAACUGUUUAUUAAAAACACAGCACUGUGCAAACACGAAAGUGGACGUAUACGGUGUGACGCCUGCCCGGUGCCGGAAGGUUAAUUGAUGGGGUUAGCGCAAGCGAAGCUCUUGAUCGAAGCCCCGGUAAACGGCGGCCGUAACUAUAACGGUCCUAAGGUAGCGAAAUUCCUUGUCGGGUAAGUUCCGACCUGCACGAAUGGCGUAAUGAUGGCCAGGCUGUCUCCACCCGAGACUCAGUGAAAUUGAACUCGCUGUGAAGAUGCAGUGUACCCGCGGCAAGACGGAAAGACCCCGUGAACCUUUACUAUAGCUUGACACUGAACAUUGAGCCUUGAUGUGUAGGAUAGGUGGGAGGCUUWGAAGUGUGGACGCCAGUCUGCAUGGAGCCGACCUUGAAAUACCACCCUUUAAUGUUUGAUGUUCUAACGUUGACCCGUGAUCCGGGUUGCGGACAGUGUCUGGUGGGUAGUUUGACUGGGGCGGUCUCCUCCUAAAGAGUAACGGAGGAGCACGAAGGUUGGCUAAUCCUGGUCGGACAUCAGGAGGUUAGUGCAAUGGCAUAAGCCAGCUUGACUGCGAGCGUGACGGYGCGAGCAGGUGCGAAAGCAGGUCAUAGUGAUCCGGUGGUUCUGAAUGGAAGGGCCAUCGCUCAACGGAUAAAAGGUACUCCGGGGAUAACAGGCUGAUACCGCCCAAGAGUUCAUAUCGACGGCGGUGUUUGGCACCUCGAUGUCGGCUCAUCACAUCCUGGGGCUGAAGUAGGUCCCAAGGGUAUGGCUGUUCGCCAUUUAAAGUGGUACGCGAGCUGGGUUUAGAACGUCGUGAGACAGUUCGGUCCCUAUCUGCCGUGGGCGCUGGAGAACUGAGGGGGGCUGCUCCUAGUACGAGAGGACCGGAGUGGACGCAUCACUGGUGUUCGGGUUGUCAUGCCAAUGGCACUGCCCGGUAGCUAAAUGCGGAAGAGAUAAGUGCUGAAAGCAUCUAAGCACGAAACUUGCCCCGAGAUGAGUUCUCCCUGACYCYUURAGRGUCCUGAAGGAACGUUGAAGACGACGACGUUGAUAGGCCGGGUGUGUAAGCGCAGCGAUGCGUUGAGCUAACCGGUACUAAUGAACCGUGAGGCUUAACCUUACAACGCCGAAGCUGUU
rnacentral:rRNA from 1 species